rnacentral:rRNA from 1 species
UACAGGGGGUGCAAACGUUGCUCGGAAUCAUUGGGCGUAAAGCGCACGUAGGCGGUUUGUCGCGUCUGCCGUGAAAGUCCGGGGCUCAACUCCGGAUCUGCGGUGGGUACGGGCAGACUAGAGUGAUGUAGGGGAGACUGGAAUUCCUGGUGUAGCGGUGAAAUGCGCAGAUAUCAGGAGGAACACCGAUGGUGAAGGCAGGUCUCUGGGCCGAUACUGACGCUGAGGAGCGAAAGCGUGGGGAGCGAACAGG